rnacentral:rRNA from 1 species
UACGUAGGGGGCAAGCGUUGUCCGGAAUUACUGGGCGUAAAGCGCACGUAGGCGGCUUUGUAAGUUAGAGGUGAAAGCCCAGGGCUCAACCCUGGAAUUGCCUUUAAGACUGCAUCGCUAGAAUUGUGGAGAGGUAAGUGGAAUUCCGAGUGUAGAGGUGAAAUUCGUAGAUAUUCGGAAGAACACCAGUGGCGAAGGCGACUUACUGGACACAUAUUGACGCUGAGGUGCGAAAGCGUGGGGAGCAAACAGG